rnacentral:ncRNA from 1 species
GAGAGUAGUUGAGUAUCAGGUCGCUCAAAAGGUGAUUUGGCUCGGGUGGCGGACCACUACUUUCACAAUCCACGACACACAACUUAUGGAAACUAUUAAUUCCCAAAUUAAAAAGAUCAUUAAGGAAAAGUGUCCGUCAGGUCUAAUUGAAAGGUGACUACUUAGUCGUGAGCUGUUCACGGCACACAAGGAUCCCAAGUCUGAGUGUAAUUUUACCAAAGACCUCUAAUCCCGCAAGGACGAGCUGGGGAGGCAUCCUCGGAGAGAGUUGAGUAAUGAGAGAGUAGAUUAGACCUCAAGGAGUGGUUUACCUAAAUAACCGUCACUGAGAAAUACUUCUCAAAAGGAAGUGGAUAGGAGUAGAAUAAAUAAUGACUCUAAAGGUUCUCACAAAAAACUGUAAUCUCAGGUU